rnacentral:lncRNA from 1 species
AGUUAUGAAUCACAACAUAUCACAUUUAAGUACAAUCUCAUAUUAAAAACAGAACACAUUAAAUGUCAACAAUAACAUAGAUUACAGCAGAUUUACUUAUUCUUGCUGAGCUAAUUUUAAAAGAUGCAGGUAAUUUAUUCAUCCUGCAAUUAACCAGGUAUUGUACAAUCAACAGGUAUAAAAUUAAAUUCUAACUCAUCAUAGUUAUGUUAAAAUAACGGCCAAUAACUGUAUUUUUUUAGUUCUCUUCUUUUUUAAUCAUUGACAUACAGAUCUUGUGGUCUAGCUUAGCUUGCAAGAUUCUGACAACACUCCAUUCUACUUUCUGUUUAGAGACAUUUUGGGAUCCUUUGUUUUUUUUCGAAAUAAAACACCACUUCAAAAUUUGAAAGCAGAGAUUUGAUAGGCUGAUAUGAUCAUUUCUAGAACAGAAAGUAGGACACAGUCCCAUCAAAUCCUUGAGAGUAAAGCAUGGACACAGGAUCUGUUUUAACCAUGUUGAUUUCUAUAAAAUUAAGACAAACGUUGAGAGAAAAAAAUCUAUAAUAUUAGACUGCAGGAUAAAAACAAUAGUUGUUCAUUGUUUAAUAUUAUUUACUUUUUUUUUUCAUUUUGAUCUCCCUUGUAGUUUAAACAAUUUUUAAAUUUUAGGUUUGUAUUUUGUUUAUUAAUUCUUCAAUUCAUGUUUCAUGGAAAUAUCCAAAAUAAAUACCCUAAGGUAGAAUAAUACAUCUUUACUUGGAAUGCAUAAUUAUUAUGUAGGACCCAGCCCCAUCUAUAAAUCUUCUUUUCACUUGGAGGAAUCUUUUUAAAAAUACAACCACUAUUAUUCUGCCUUAUAUAUAUACACAAUAUAUUAUACUUACAUUUACUCUAC